GAUGAACGCUGGCGGCGUGCCUAAUACAUGCAAGUCGAGCGAACGGACGAGAAGCUUGCUUCUCUGAUGUUAGCGGCGGACGGGUGAGUAACACGUGGAUAACCUACCUAUAAGACUGGGAUAACUUCGGGAAACCGGAGCUAAUACCGGAUAAUAUUUUGAACCGCAUGGUUCAAAAGUGAAAGACGGUCUUGCUGUCACUUAUAGAUGGAUCCGCGCUGCAUUAGCUAGUUGGUAAGGUAACGGCUUACCAAGGCAACGAUGCAUAGCCGACCUGAGAGGGUGAUCGGCCACACUGGAACUGAGACACGGUCCAGACUCCUACGGGAGGCAGCAGUAGGGAAUCUUCCGAAAUGGGCGAAAGCCUGACGGAGCGACGCCGCGUGAGUGAUGAAGGUCUUCGGAUCGUAAAACUCUGUUAUUAGGGAAGAACAUAUGUGUAAGUAACUGUGCACAUCUUGACGGUACCUAAUCAGAAAGCCACGGCUAACUACGUG
rnacentral:rRNA from 1 species